rnacentral:rRNA from 1 species
CAGUAGCCACGGUAAUACGGAGGGUGCAAGCGUUAAUCGGAAUUACUGGGCGUAAAGCGCACGCAGGCGGUCCGACAAGUCAGAUGUGAAAUCCCCGGGCUUAACCUGGGAACUGCAUUUGAAACUGUCAGGCUGGAGUCUUGUAGAGGGGGGUGGAAUUCCAGGUGUAGCGGUGAAAUGCGUAGAGAUCUGGAGGAAUACCGGUGGCGAAGGCGGCCCCCUGGACAAAGACUGACGCUCAGGUGCGAAAGCGUGGGGAGCAAACAGGAUUAGAUACCCGUGUAGUCCCUGUCUCUUAUAC